CUUUAGGGGGACUGCCGGUGAUAAGCCGAGAGGAAGGUGGGGAUGAUGUCAAGUCCUCAUGGCCCUUACGGGCUGGGCUACACACGUGCUACAAUGGUGGUGACAAUGGGCAGCGAAAGGGCGACCUGGAGCUAAUCCCCAAAAGCCGUCUCAGUUCAGAUUGUACUCUGCAACUCGAGUGCAUGAAGGCGGAAUCGCUAGUAAUCGCAGAUCAGCAUGCUGCGGUGAAUACGUUCCCGGGCCUUGUACACACCGCCCGUCACACCAUGGGAGUUGGUUCUACCCGAAGGCGCUGCGCCGUCCACAAGGAGGCAGGCGACC
rnacentral:rRNA from 1 species